GAAAGUGAAGGUUCAAUUUAUAUUUCAUUCCUUGUUUUUUUGGUUAAACAUAUUUAAUUCCUUUUUUUUGGUUAGACAUAUUUCAUUUCUUUUUUUAUCAAAUAUAUUUCUUUCCAUUAAUAAUCAAGACCAAAAAAGUUUGAUUGAUUACAUGUGAUGUAGAUUUUUAAUGACUGCAUUUAAUGGUAUAUUGAGGAACUUUUUUGAAAUAAUUUUAGACAACUAGGCUACGAAAUUGGUAGGUUUCGUGGCUUUGAGUUAUAAGUGCCACAAAGUUAGGCUCUUCCGCCAAAAAUUAGGAACAAUUUUUAAAACAAUUUCAUUAGGCUGCGAAAUUGAUAGGGUUUCGUCGUGUUAAGUGCCGAAAAUUUAAGCAGUCAAAACUUCCGCCCAAAAAUUUAGGACAAUUUUCAAAACUAUUUCAUUUUAAAAUUAGAAGUCUCAUGUUCUCUCUCUCUCUCUCUCUCUCUCUCUGACACGACCCACCCCAAAUUUCACCCUGAAACCCAGAGUAAGUCGUGCAGGGACCACCUCCAAGGAAAAUUUACCGAAAAAUCGGCAUAACCUCCCUUGAAAAUAGACAACCCUUCCUAAUAAUACAUGCAAACACUUCUGAAAAAUUUAAAUCCAACCUUAAACUCCUGGAGCCUCCGUGCUCCCCAAAUCACAACACCACCCAAAUUAUUUACUAAUCUAAACAAAUCUCAUAUCCAACCAUUUAUAUGUUCAGAGCAACUCUAACAAGAAGAAAGGAAACAUAAUAAAUUAACAAGCGGAAGCUAUAUGAUGACUAUGUCUCAUCUCCAUAUACGCCCGACCUCAACUAUGCAAUCCUGCAAACUAGGCAUUUUUAAAACGAAGAGCCCAGGGGAAAACAUUUGAAACACAUUAGAGUGAGUGGACAAAAAUAAAUUAACGAAUAAAAUAUUUAUGUUUCCCCAAAUCAAUUUCCAAGGAAAAUCAAAUGCAUGCUGCAAGCGAUAAAACUUUUAUCUCAUAAAUGUCGAGCCUCUCAGGCUCUAUAAUAUAUGUAUGUAUUUACACACGUCCAUACUCCCUAUAUAAAUUCAUGGGUCUAUAUAGGGCUACUACGUUCAUGUCCAAUGUUCACGUCACGCCUUAAUGCGGUGCUAUACUACGCCAUUAAGGUGGACAGACGAGUGUAUAAAUAUGUGCCCAUACCCCCUAUAUUAAUUAAACACUCAUAUAGGGCUACUACGCUCGCGUCCAAUGCUCACGUCACACCAUAAUGCGGCUAUAUGCUACGCCAUUAAGGUGGACAGACACAUAGGGCUAGCUAGCAUUUUUAUACAUACUCUCCUCAUAAAUACAUAUUUAUAUUCACCGAAAAUCCCAUUUUCGGUAACUCUCCAAGAAAAAUAAAACUGUCAAAAUAAAAUGACGUCAAAAUGCUCCACAACAUUAAUUGUUCAUCUAUGAACUAUAACAUGCAUUUUAUUUAAAACAAAAGUCCACUCACAACUCUAGGCAUAAGCCCGACGAAAUCCAAAUCGCCACUCCAGAGAGGUUUCCUCGAACCCUGGCACAAAUAUAAAAUUAAUUUCCCAACUAAAACUCCAAUAUUUAAACAAAAUAGGCAAAAUUAACCGAGAGCCAUAACUACGCUCAUCAUUGCCUAACUUCGAUAUUCUUAAAUCGAAACGAUCCGAACUUAAAUAUCAUACUCGGCAGCCGUAAUUACAACCUCCUCAAAAAUACGACUUAAAUCCUACGGCCGGAUUCUACAUUAAUUAACCGCCAAAAAUACCACACUUCGGAAAUUCAUAAACCUAUCCAAAACUCAUCCAAAAAUUCCAUAACUCACUUCAACAAACUCCCCU
rnacentral:lncRNA from 1 species